rnacentral:rRNA from 1 species
GAUGAACGCUGGCGGCGUGCUUAACACAUGCAAGUCGAACGGUGAAGGCGGAGCUUGCUCUGCUGGAUCAGUGGCGAACGGGUGAGUAACACGUGAGCAAUCUGCCCCUGACUCUGGGAUAAGCGCUGGAAACGGCGUCUAAUACUGGAUACGAGCUGCGAAGGCAUCUUCAGCAGCUGGAAAGAACUUCGGUCAGGGAUGAGCUCGCGGCCUAUCAGCUUGUUGGUGAGGUAACGGCUCACCAAGGCGUCGACGGGUAGCCGGCCUGAGAGGGUGACCGGCCACACUGGGACUGAGACACGGCCCAGACUGCUACGGGAGGCAGCAGUGGGGAAUAUUGCACAAUGGGCGAAAGCCCGAUGCAGCAACGCCGCGUGAGGGACGACGGCCCUCGGGUUGUAAACCUCUUUUAGCAGGGAAGAAGCGAAAGUGACGGUACCUGCAGAAAAAGCUCGGGCUAACUACGUG